rnacentral:rRNA from 1 species
UACGUAGGUCCCGAGCGUUGUCCGGAUUUAUUGGGCGUAAAGCGAGCGCAGGUGGUUUAAUAAGUCUGAUGUAAAAGGCAGUGGCUCAACCAUUGUGUGCAUUGGAAACUGUUAGACUUGAGUGCAGUAGAGGAGAGUGGAAUUCCAUGUGUAGCGGUGAAAUGCGUAGUUAUAUGGAGGAACACCGGUGGCGAAAGCGGCUCUCUGGACUGUAACUGACACUGAGGCUCGAAAGCGUGGGUAGCAAACAGG